GACGAACGCUGGCGGCGUGCUUAACACAUGCAAGUCGAACGGAAAGGCCCUGCUUUUGUGGGGUGCUCGAGUGGCGAACGGGUGAGUAACACGUUAGUAACCUUCCCUUUACUUUGGGAUAACUUCAGGAAACUGGGGCUAAUACCGGAUAGGAGCUCCUGCUGCAUGGUGGGGGUUGGAAAGUUUCGGCGGUUGGGGAUGGACUCGCGGCUUAUCAGCUUGUUGGUGGGGUAGUGGCUUACCAAGGCUUUGACGGGUAGCCGGCCUGAGAGGGUGACCGGCCACAUUGGGACUGAGAGACGGCCCAGACUCCUACGGGAGGCAGCAGUGGGGAAUAUUGCACAAUGGGCGGAAGCCUGAUGCAGCAACGCCGCGUGCGGGAUGACGGCCUUCGGGUUGUAAACCGCUUUCGCCUGUGACGAAGCGUGAGUGACGGUAAUGGGUAAAGAAGCACCGGCUAACUACGUG
rnacentral:rRNA from 1 species